rnacentral:rRNA from 3 species
AGAGUUUGAUCCUGGCUCAGAACGUACGCUGGCGGCACGCCUAACACAUGCAAGUCGAACGAAGUAGCAAUACUUAGUGGCAGACGGGUGAGUAACAUGUAGGUAUCUGCCCUUUGGCCUGGAAUAACACGAGGAAACUUGUGCUAAUACCGGAUAAGUCUUUACGGAGAAAGCUUUAUGCACCAUUGGAUGAGCCUGCACUUGAUUAGUUUGUUGGUGGGGUAAUGGCCUACCAAGACUGUGAUCAAUAGCUGAUUUGAGAGGAUGAUCAGCCACAUUGGGACUGAGACACGGCCCAAACUCCUACGGGAGGCAGCAGUGGGGAAUCUUGCACAAUGGAGGAAACUCUGAUGCAGCGAUGCCGCGUGAGUGAAGAAGGCCCUUGGGUUGUAAAGCUCUUUCGUCGGGGAAGAAAAUGACUGUACCCGAAUAAGAAGGUCCGGCUAACUUCGUGCCAGCAGCCGCGGUAAUACGAAGGGACCUAGCGUAGUUCGGAAUUACUGGGCUUAAAGAGUUCGUAGGUGGUUGAAAAAGUUAGUGGUGAAAUCCCAGAGCUUAACUCUGGAACUGCCAUUAAAACUUUUCAGCUAGAGUAUGAUAGAGGAAAGCAGAAUUUCUAGUGUAGAGGUGAAAUUCGUAGAUAUUAGAAAGAAUACCAAUUGCGAAGGCAGCUUUCUGGAUCAUUACUGACACUGAGGAACGAAAGCAUGGGUAGCGAAGAGGAUUAGAUACCCUCGUAGUCCAUGCCGUAAACGAUGUGUGUUAGACGUUGGAAAUUUAUUUUCAGUGUCGCAGGGAAACCGAUAAACACACCGCCUGGGGAGUACGACCGCAAGGUUAAAACUCAAAUGAAUUGACGGGGACCCGCACAAGUAGUGGAGCAUGUGGUUUAAUUCGAAGAUACGCGCAGAACCUUACCAACACUUGACAUGUUCGUCGCGACUCUAAGAGAUUAGAGUUUUCGGUUCGGCCGGACGAAACACAGGUGCUGCAUGGCUGUCGUCAGCUCGUGUCGUGAGAUGUUGGGUUAAGUCCCGCAACGAGCGCAACCCUCACUUUUAGUUGCCAUCAUUAAGUUGGGCACUCUGAAAGAACUGCCAGUGAUAAGCUGGAGGAAGGUGGGGAUGACGUCAAGUCCUCAUGGCCCUUACGUGUUGGGCUACACACGUGCUACAAUGGUAUCUACAACAGGAAGCAAGACUGCGAAGUUAAGCAAAUCCCUAAAAGAUACCUCAGUUCGGAUUGCACUCUGCAACUCGAGUGCAUGAAGCUGGAAUUACUAGUAAUCGUGGAUCAGCGUGCCACGGUGAAUGCGUUCCCGGGUCUUGUACACACCGCCCGUCACACCAUGGGAGUUGGUUCUACCUUAAGGCAAGGUUUCAAACCCUUGACCACGGUAUAGUCAGCGACUGGGGUGAAGUCGUAACAAGGUAACC